rnacentral:misc_RNA from 1 species
CAAACAAUGCGCAAUUAAUAUCCGCACGAAGGGAAAGCUAGUUGUAAAUUUACGCAUUCUUCACAAGGAGGGAAUCUAUUUCUUCUGAUGACAUUUAGCCAUUGUGUCCCAGUGCCAUGAGGGUCCUGAUUCUGUUGAUAUCUAUCUUGACGUCAGCGUCAGUAGUGGAAGCAAUGAAAUGGCCAAUUGAAGGAUAUUGUUCUCCAUGCCAGUGCUCUGUGCAACAGAGCAAAUACUCCUAUGGAUUGAUCAAGCUUGUAAACUGUUCAGGCCUUGGACUGACAGAACUCCCCAAGCAUCUGCCUAGAGAUUUAGACUGCCUUGACCUAUCAAAUAACAACUUUGACAUUGCAAUAGUUGACCCAAUCUGUGAUUUUAAAUUUUUGCAAUACCUGUCUCUUGCUCAAAAUACAUUCACCUCAAUUGAUUGGUACCUAUUUUCAAAUUGUUCGCUCCUGAUAAAGCUUGAUCUGACUGGAAGCAGUAUUUUUCACUUGACGAAUGGAUCCUUCAGUGGACUUGAUAACCUUCAAACAAUAUAUGGCUUAGAGGCUGUGUCAGUUGAUGUUGGAGUUUUCAUGAAUCUGCAAAAACUGAAAACCUUGGAGUUUACAUUUUUAGGAGAAACCAUUCCCGAAAUGAUAUUUACAGGUCUCCCAGUUGAGACACUACAUUUGACUAUGUACAAAGUUGAAAAGAUCCCCCAGCGGCUUCUUGAAUUUGGUGAAAAGACUCUUCAGGUCAUCAGCAUCAAUGGUCCAGAAGUUUCAUUUGUUUACGAGAACUUUCUCCGAGGAUUAACUGUUCUCAGAAAGGUGUACAUGAAUAUGCCAAAGCUAGUUAGUUUGCCUGAAAGAAUCUUCAACAAUUUUGGUGUAAUGUCUGAUGAUGGUGACCCAAGGAAUCUACAGGAGAUAGUUCUCAUGUCAAUGAAUAGUGUCCCUGGAACAAUUUUUAAAGACUUGGAAAGUCUACAUAGACUUGAAAUUCAUGAUGUUAAUGAAGUUGCAUCUCCUGGUAUCUUUGAUGAUUUGGUUAAUUUAGAAGUUCUUGAUUUGACCCGAAGUAAUGUUAACCAGGUCCCAACUGGAUGGUUUUCAAACCUCUACAGCCUUAAAACUCUGAAUUUAAGUCAGAGCAAUCUUCGUGAAAUAGAAGAGCAUUCAAUGGAUGGACUCAUGAACUUGAAAACUUUGGACCUGUCAAUGAACGCUCUACGUAAUAUUCACCUGAAAACAUUCGAUCCUUUGAGAAAAUCAGUUCAGAAUCUUCACCUGCAAGGGAACAUCCUGAAAGGCAUCAGUGACCAGCUGUUUAGUAGCAUGCUUGCACUGCAAUACCUGGAUCUCAGUGAUAAUAAAAUUGCUAUGAUAUCAAGUAAUGCCUUUUCCGACUUAAAGCUCUUAAACAGUCUACAGUUGCAGGAAAACAAACUUGCAUAUCUACCAGUUGACCUGUUUAAACAUCAACCUAACUUACAAGUCCUUCACCUUGGAGCAAACUCAUUCCAACGUUUUCCAAUAUCUGUGUUGAAAUCUGCAGGAUUUCUGCUUCGUCUGUAUCUUGAAGACAACAAGAUUCCAUCAGCUCCUCCAAGUCUAUCAACUGACUUGCCCUACCUGGAGUAUCUUUCUGUGAUGAAUAAUCCUGUACAAUGUAGGUGUAGGUUGUUGAGUUUGAGGUUGUUCAUGCCAAACUUGUACAUCGAUGGCCUGUGUAUGGCUCCGAGAGCUUAUUCCGGGAGACAUGUUAUGUCGUUGGUUGUACCUGCAAAUUGUAAAGGCCCAAGACCAAAACCAGAAAUAAGGCCUGAAAUUCCAGAAAUAACAUUUACAUCUAUGCUGGAUCCAGAUCCGCCUCCUGAGGAUAAGGACUACAAGGAAAACUAUCAUUACUAUGGAAACAAUUACUAUGGAUCUGAUGACUAUUAUGAAUAUGACACUAAUCAGUAUUACUUAGAUCUACAAAGUGAUGAGAAAGCACCACCAAGUUCUGUCGGUGUUACAGGGAUAGGAACGCGUUCAUGGAAAUAUCCCGAAGUAUCAAUGUCAACCAGAAAACAAACAGACAGGAGUCAGAUGAUAAAUGCUGCUACUACUUCAUCGCUUGCUUCAAUGACUCAGAUGUACUCAGAUGGUACAUCUGAUCCGCCUCAUCUCCAUGGAUCAACUGAUGCAAAUUUUAGCUUACCCAUCUCACCAACCCCUCCGCUGAUUCGAGAGUUUGAAAGUAAUGAAACAGAGUCUGCGGUUGUAACUACGUCCAUCCAAGGAGUUCCAUCACCAACUGAUGUACCCUGUACAUCCUUUACCAGUGAAUCACAGCCACUGUCCAAGGAACAUUCCUAUACAGAUUCAGGGACUCCUGAUAAAGAGAGACGUUCAUGCUCUGAUGAUACCUGUAAAGAAAUGGCAACUGAUUUUCUACCUCCUGAAGAUUCUGUAGCUGAAGGAGAUGAUGCCUUUACAGGACGGGGAUCAUCAUCUUCUGCACAGGAGGACAGCAACAUUAGGGAUGUGGACAAGACAGAGGACACUACAUCCAGGUUAAGAUCCACAUCAACACAAGGUUUGCCAACAUCAAGCCAUGGCCAGAUAUCUCCCAGCAGCUCUGUGGACUUGGUGGACAAUACAGCGGUGUCUGAGAAGCCACAUGGCGGUAUGGUUGGAGAUGGCGAGACUGGCAUGAGUCCAACAGUGCAGGCAGUGGUUGGUGUGUUGGCUGUGGCAGCUUUCAUCUGUAUUUGCGUGACACUGUGGUGGCUGCGGAAACAGGUGAAAACUCGGAGGAUGUACGAGGUCACACCUUCUAGUACAGUGGUGUGAGGCAUCAUCAGUGGCAGGUUCAGGUUAUGCAGGUGAACGGAACCGUUAGUGCAAGGUACAGUGAGUGUAAGGUACCUUUAAGUGUUAGUUAUUUUCAGUGUGGGGUACAAUGAAGUGUGAGGUAUUGUCAGUGUGGGGUACGAUUAAGUAUAAGGUAUUGUCAGUAUGAGAUACCAUUAGUGUUAGGUAUUGUUAGCAUGGGGUACCAUUGUGUUAGGCAUUGUAAGCGUGGGGUCCUAUUACGUGUCAGGUUUUGUCAGUGUGGGGUACAAAUAAGUGUGAGGUAUUCUCAGUGUGAGGUUCUAUUAAGUGUGAGAUAUUGUCCGUAUGAGAUACCAUUGUGUUAGGUAUUGUCCGUAUGAGAUACCAUUGUGUUAGGUAUUGUCAGUGUGAGAUACCAUUGUGUAAGGUAUUGUCAGUAUGAGAUACCAUUGUGUUAGUUAUUGUCAGUGUGAGAUACCAUUGUGUUAGGUAUUGUCAGUAUGAGAUACCAUUGUGUUAGGUAUUGUCAGUAUGAGAUACCAUUGUGUUAGGUAUUGUCAGUGUGAGAUACCAUUGUGUUAGGUAUUGUCAGUAUGAGAUACCAUUGUGUUAGGUAUUGUCAGUAUGAGAUACCAUUGUGUUAGGUAUUGUCAGUGUGAGAUACCAUUGUGUAAGGUAUUGUCAGUAUGAGAUACCAUUGUGUUAGGUAUUGUCAGUGUGAGAUACCAUUGUGUUAGGUAUUGUCAGUAUGAGAUACCAUUGUGUUAGGUAUUGUCAGUAUGAGAUACCAUUGUGUUAGGUAUUGUCAGUGUGAGAUACCAUUGUGUUAGGUAUUGUCAGUGUGAGAUACCAUUGUGUUAGGUAUUGUCAGUGUGAGAUACCAUUGUGAGGUAUUGUCAGGUGAGGUACUAUUAAGUGUGAGGUGUUGUCAGUGUGGCGAAGUGAGGUGAAAUGGUGUUAAGUGUCGCAUCCAAGAUUAUUGCACUUAUAUAGCAGUUAUAUAUGCGUAUGUUUGUGCUGCUUGUAUUAGUCCGGACUAAUUUUAUAGUGCUAGCCCACUGAGAUACCAUACAGCAGUUUAACAUGAAUACCCUACUCAGACACAGUAUACUGACUCUGAGGCGACUGGUCCAUUUUAGCCCC